CUCGUUUCAGAUACUUUGACCUCCUUUCCUUGUGUGUCUCCCACACCUGUGAUUGUCGACCCCGCCCCUGAUUGUUUCCACCUGUUCCCCAUUACCUGGUGUAUUUAUUGUCCUCGUCUCCCUUGUCCUGUGCCAGUUCGUUUCGUUUCCUGUGACUAACCACAAGUGUAUCAUGCCAGGUCAAAUCUCAAGCAGAGCUUUGAGCCACGUCUUGUUUUCUGAGAAUUUAGUUAUCUAUGCUCCUAGUGUUUUUUCCUCAUUGAAGUGAUUUUGUUUUGUUAGUGUUUUUCCUCGUUAAGAGUCAUUUCGUUUUUUGACCUCUGUAGAAGAGCUUUGGUUUGAAAUAAACCUUUUUUGUUAAAACCUUUGAAUCAAUUGCUCAACAAGUCCAAAUAAAAAGGAGUCUGACACUCUGGCAGCACACAUCUGAAGAAUCAACACCGCAGCGGGACAAUAUAAGGUGAAGCGUUGAAGUGUUAAUGUGGAGGCACCUCCAAGACGUGUCCAGGUCCUGUGGAGACUUGUUUGAAGCAAGUCUGUGGCAGCAUCGCUCUUAACCUGUUACGCACCAUCCCCCCGGUUAACCCUGGAACCCGUAAGUAAAGGCUUCAUUGACGCUGGAUGGAUUCAGUUGCUCAACAAGUCCUAAACUUGCAGCCUGGCAGCACAGAUCAGAAGAAUCAACAACGCAGUGGGACAAUACAAGAGUUGUGUACAGACUGGUGAAAACAUGAAGACUGUGGUUCUCGCUCUCAUGGUGUUGGUGGUGGUCAGCCAGGG